rnacentral:lncRNA from 1 species
UGAAGCUGCUUUCCUUUGGAGUUUCCAGGAGCCUUUCGAGGACAAGCAGGCAUACAAAGCCAGUUCUUUGAAACAAAAAUCGCUAUUCAGGCCAUGUCAGACAAACACGGCUUUCUUCCAAAGUACUGUAAUCUGGUGUAAAGGGGGAAGUCUUCAGUUUCUUUUCUAAACCAGCUGCAGAGAAACCAGCCUGAGAUGUCUUGUGUCUGUUUACCCACCCCAAUCUUGGAGAGCAGCAGCUCCAGUUUACAGCCAAAGAACGAAAAGAGUAUAUGUCUAUGUACAACAGAAUCCUCCAUUAUCUCCAUUUUGGUCCACCAAAAUAUUGUCUCAGCUUGAGUUGACUGUGCACCCUCUUGGGGUUGAUGGCUGCUGUUCUGAGGAAGAGGAAGCUCUCUUUCCUUCCAGAAUAGACAUCCUGAUCCAUUCAUCAACUAAGACUAGUGAAUUUGGAACAGCUUUGGUGAAACUCACUGCCAUCCCAGUGCCAAAAAAUGCUAUGGAAGCUCCGUUGUGACUACACAGCCUUGGCAUCCGGCUGAUCUGCUAAGUCUCAGAAGGAGAGGUGGGUCUGAAUUUUGUACUGUUUUACUUAAGCUGUUCUUUUCUCCCUCACUGCCAAAAAGAAAGAAGGAAAAAGAAAUUGGGAGCAAGGGAGAGACAGAGAGAGUAGGGCAAGGAGAUAUAUUUUGUGUAAGAAAGGAAAAAGACAUUUUUUUUACACCAGAAAAAUAAGAAAAAUAAAAUGUGUUGCGAGUUGAAGCUAACA